ensembl:lncRNA
AAUGGAUCAGACUCAAUAACAUGGUAUUUUGGGGCAGACAAUAUCUGGCAGUCAUUUUGUAACUGCCAGACCUUUGGGGAAAUUUCUUUCAUAUGAUUAAUUUGUUUAAGCCAGAGGCUUUCCAUACUGAAAUACUUUCCAUUGUACUCACAGUUUGACAAAUCCACUUUCAAAAGCUGUGCUUGCCUCAUUUCAUAGGUUUGCCACAAUGCUAAUCUCAAACUUGUGGAACUGGGCAAAAGCAGAGCCAAGUAAGGUUAUUGGCUUGGCGUUAAGACCCUGAUUAUUCCAACAUUUAUGCUGUUUUAUGCUCCACAAAUGUUAUUUGAUCCAAAGGAACUGUUUCUUCCGGGAGCUAAUAUCUCUCCAGAACGGAGAUAUAACUUAGAUAGUGCAAAUGCCUUCAUGGGCUACUAAGAUUGCUAUUUCUAAAUUAAGAGCAGAAUCCUAUCUGUUAAAUCUUCAUCUGCGGAGGGUAGCAUAUAGUAAAGAGUAGUAACAGACCCACCUGUUAAUAAUUUUCCACAAAAUAAUUAUCCUUUUUUUUAAUGUUCUGAAUCAGAGCUGGUGAUGCCAGUCGUUAAAGAAUCACUCUUUUGAGUUGAAUUGCGAAUAGCAUUUAAUGCAUUAUCUGAAUAGGUUCACGAUUCAGUCUGUAUUUUUGAAAUUGCUCGCUGACGCACUGAAAGCUUUAGUUUCUAUACAAUGAGAUCAUUUUGGAGACACAGAAGACAAAGUGAACUGGAUUUUUACUUACAACUCAUGAAAUAAACGUACAGAGCGACGAAGAAGGCUCAACACCUGCACGUAAACUCCCCUGUAGGCUACUGCAGGUAAAUACAUUUUCCUACCAAGUACGUUAACUUUGUUUAUGUUUGUUUAUUUAUUUUUUAUGUUUUCCAAAUGUUGUGGUCAAAAAAUUAUUAUUAUUAUGAUUAUUAUCCUUCUUAGUACAGUGGAUGGUUGAUACAUGAGUAGGUGGUCCUUUACUCUGAUUACAAAUAUUUUGGACCCCAUUGACACCUGUAGUAAGCACUGACAACUUGAGAUUGGAUCACUCAAGAUGGAUGUUAAUACUAGAUGUAAAUUGGCAUAAACCUCUAGUUUGUUGUUCCCAACCUGUUUGAAAGCAAGCUUUGGGCAGUUUUACCACCAUGUAGUACUUGUAUUUUUGUAUGUUUAACAAACAUUUGACCUUGUAUUUGAUUAGGACAAUUGCCAUUACAAUCAAGCUGUUGACUUCGUUAACAUAAGAACUGAGUGGACAUUCUCAUUUUGCAAGUGCAUUUUUUUUUUUAUUUGGACUGUACUUGUCUCUCGCUCUUUCCGGAAUAAUCCUCAAAAAAGCUUCCUAGAUUGAAUAUGCAGUUUAUUGGGUAUAGCCACAGCUAAACGUUAAACAGAAUGACUCAUGGGAAAGAAUAAAAAUACGUCUGCUAUUCUAGAGAGGGAUGGCACAUCUGCAGGUCAUCGGAAGAAAGAAGCACCGGUGAGCUCUGAGAUAAAAGAUAAAGAUGACAGAGCUCUUUAGUGCCCUGUUAAAAAAGAAAAGAGAACAAGACGCCACUCAUCCUCACCAGGCCAGCUUCAUUUGCUUAAUGGCACACAGCUUGAGUAGGGCCAGCUCCCCUAAUAAUGAUCUAACAGUGCAACAAGGCGAGAACUAAGAUAUGGAAAUAUUGAAAUUCAUAUAGGCAGGCUGAAAGCAUCUCAGCAUUGAUCUAGCCUCAGCAUGGGUAAAAAGCAGCGCUCCUUUAAUCAGGGCAGGCCAGGAGCCUUUGGCUACACAGAGGUCCCUCUCAAGAUAAGCCUGUCCUACAGCACAGCUAGCUGAGAUGAGGGGAAGAGAGAGUGAAGCCUGGGGGCCUGAGCAGAGAGUAGAACCAGGACUGAAUCUCAAAUCAACUCAUUAUUCCCUACCUGCUGCACCUUUGUCGUGCAUGGAGAGUGCUUCUUAAUUCAAGCACCACUGCAGGACCAGGGUUACUGUUUUUUUUUGUUUUGUUUUUUUCUAACAAGAGACCCAAUUUGAUGUUCUUUGUGUUCUGGGUCAGUGGCGUGACACUAAUAUUAUUUUUGUCUUACCUAUUCAUUA